GCCCUGUCAUUGCUGGGGGCUGUUGUGCAGGUCCAGCUCUCCAAUGGUUACAGUGGGCAAGAUCAAUCCUGAGAUUUAUGCAUGGGGGGCUGUUUCUUCUCAGCAGCUGCCAUAGCCUGGUCACUGGUACAUGG
ensembl:snoRNA